rnacentral:rRNA from 1 species
AGAGUUUGAUCCUGGCUCAGGAUGAACGCUGGCGGCGUGCCUAACACAUGCAAGUCGAGCGAUUCUCUUCGGAGAAGAGCGGCGGACGGGUGAGUAACGCGUGGGUAACCUGCCCUGUACACACGGAUAACAUACCGAAAGGUAUGCUAAUACGGGAUAAUAUAUAAGAGUCGCAUGACUUUUAUAUCAAAGAUUUUUCGGUACAGGAUGGACCCGCGUCUGAUUAGCUUGUUGGCGGGGUAACAGCCCACCAAGGCGACGAUCAGUAGCCGACCUGAGAGGGUGAUCGGCCACAUUGGAACUGAGACACGGCCCAGACUCCUACGGGAGGCAGCAGUGGGGAAUAUUGCACAAUGGGGGAAACCCUGAUGCAGCAACGCCGCGUGAGUGAUGAAGGUUUUCGGAUCGUAAAGCUCUGUCUUUGGGGAAGAUAAUGACGGUACCCAAGGAGGAAGCCACGGCUAACUACGUGCCAGCAGCCGCGGUAAUACGUAGGUGGCGAGCGUUAUCCGGAUUUACUGGGCGUAAAGGGAGCGUAGGCGGAUGAUUAAGUGGGAUGUGAAAUACCCGGGCUCAACUUGGGUGCUGCAUUCCAAACUGGUUAUCUAGAGUGCAGGAGAGGAGAGUGGAAUUCCUAGUGUAGCGGUGAAAUGCGUAGAGAUUAGGAAGAACACCAGUGGCGAAGGCGACUCUCUGGACUGUAACUGACGCUGAGGCUCGAAAGCGUGGGGAGCAAACAGGAUUAGAUACCCUGGUAGUCCACGCCGUAAACGAUGAGCACUAGGUGUCGGGGUCGCAAGACUUCGGUGC